UACAGAGGGUGCGAGCGUUGUUCGGAAUUAUUGGGCGUAAAGCGCUUGUAGGUGGUUUGUCAAGUCGACUGUGAAAGCCCUUGGCUCAACCAAGGAAGUGCAGCCGAAACUGGCAGACUUGGGUGCUGGAGAGGGUCGCGGAAUUCCCGGUGUAGAGGUGAAAUUCGUAGAUAUCGGGAGGAACACCAGUGGCGAAGGCGGCGACCUGGACAGACACUGACACUGAGACGCGAAAGCGUGGGUAGCAAACAGG
rnacentral:rRNA from 1 species